GAUGAACGCUGGCGGCGUGCUUAACACAUGCAAGUCGAACGGGAAACCUUUUAUUGAAGCUUCGGCAGAUUUAGCUGGUUUCUAGUGGCGGACGGGUGAGUAACGCGUGGGUAACCUGCCUUAUACAGGGGGAUAACAGUCAGAAAUGACUGCUAAUACCGCAUAAGCGCACAGGGCCGCAUGGCCCGGUGUGAAAAACUCCGGUGGUAUAAGAUGGACCCGCGUUGGAUUAGCUUGUUGGUGGGGUAACGGCCCACCAAGGCGACGAUCCAUAGCCGGCCUGAGAGGGUGAACGGCCACAUUGGGACUGAGACACGGCCCAGACUCCUACGGGAGGCAGCAGUGGGGAAUAUUGCACAAUGGGGGAAACCCUGAUGCAGCGACGCCACGUGAAGGAAGAAGUAUCUCGGUAUGUAAACUUCUAUCAGCAGGGAAGAUAGUGACGGUACCUGACUAAGAAGCCCCGGCUAACUACGUGCCAGCAGCCGCGGUAAUACGUAGGGGGCAAGCGUUAUCCGGAUUUACUGGGUGUAAAGGGAGCGUAGACGGUGUGGCAAGUCUGAUGUGAAAGGCAUGGGCUCAACCUGUGGACUGCAUUGGAAACUGUCAUACUUGAGUGCCGGAGGGGUAAGCGGAAUUCCUAGUGUAGCGGUGAAAUGCGUAGAUAUUAGGAGGAACACCAGUGGCGAAGGCGGCUUACUGGACGG
rnacentral:rRNA from 1 species